UGCGGGGCGGCCCCGGCGGUGCCAUGGCGGGUUCCCCUCAGGGCGGCCCCCGCUGCCCGCGCACGGCGGUGUUGCCGGGUUCCGGGCAGGAUGAGGUGGAACCGGGGGCGGGAAUAGUGAAUGCGGUCGUUUAUAUCGCCCCCUUUGUUCUUCCCUUGUGGAGUAUUUUUCUCUUUUGCCAGACAGCUGGAUGCAUGAAGAACCUUCGAAAAAAAAGGAUUAGAGCAGGACAGCAUUUUAGGAACAUCUGUGGAAGCCAUCGCCAGCUAUCUCUUUGCUGAAGACAGGUGCUGUUUUUAACCAGCAUUUCAUUACAGCAGGUAUCAUUGGCCUCUCCAGUUCCACGUUUAAAACUGGAUUCUGUCUUCAGAAGUGCACGAAUUUCUCAGGUCAUCAGAGAGUUUGCUGCAAUUGCCUGUCUGUGCUGCCAAGGCCACUGAAGUUAGCAGGGAAGCAAUUGAGUGUGUGCCAGCAUUCCUGCCUCUGACUGUCUGCUGGGUGUGAUUCCAUGGCCAAGUGUGGGCACUGUGGACAGGCAGAGGAUGAGGAGGAUGACUUCAUUGAGCCUGGCAGAAUCUCUGACUGAUCUGGCAAUGGGACUUAAGUAACAGACUUGAGUCACUUCUCCAAAGAAGUGACCCUGCUCCAUCCAAACCUGCACUAAGAAUCCUGGGGGAAUGAGUUGUGUGAACUCAGGAGGCAAAGAAUGUUCUCUCCAAUGUUCCCCAAAGUGGGAAGCAGGCACACCUCUCUGGAAAUGGCACAAGAGCUAAAAGUGGCCUGGGUAUGAUGAAGCAGCACUAUGGCCAUGAGUGGUGGUAAGUUUACCAAAUCCUAAGUCAUCAUGUGCCCAGACCGGCCCUAAAACCAACUUACACAGGUUACAACAGAACCCUUUGUGUUGUGUCAGCUGGGGCCUUAGCCCUUCCUCCUGUUUGCCUUGGACUUCCAAGUAGUUUGUACAUAUUUAAAACUGCCUUCCAGCUGUACUUCUGAAAAAAAUACAGGGAUGUAAAGACUUGAUCUAUGAGGUUCUGGUCAUCAAAUUUGUUUAAACUUGUAAGUUUAUAAAAUCGACCUGUGAAAGAAAAAUCCUAUUCUGGUGAAGCUGCUUCAAAAUAAAAAUAACUACAAAUGCUGCA